CUCGUGUUGCGAAGGAAACUUAAUGGUCAGUGAGAGUGGAGAGGGGUGGGUUGAAACAGACACAGACAAGGCUUGGCCUCAACAGCACACACACAAACAUUUCUGAAGUGUGCUCACUUGUGUCUGUCUUCCACCAUGCUGCAUCCUCUAAUAAUCGCUAUUAUGACCGUCAACACCUCUCUAACCGUCAUCUACUGGACCUUCCUCCUAGGUGACGUCUACUUCAAGUGGAUGUUGGAGCCGGAGGACAAGCCCAAGCAGGUGGUCACGCCCGCCUGAGGGAUCCAGCAUGGGUCCACCUGACACACCUGACACAGUGUUGUUUGCAUCUAGGACUAUAGUCAGCUUGUAGAGCUUUUUUUUCCUGUGGAGUUGCCUUUUAGCAUUUUAUUUUAUGGAGAACAUUCCUCUUAGGGUUUUUUUUUAAUAGUUUUUUUUAAGUGAGCAGAACUGCGAGGGAGUGAGGAAGGAGUCAAUGAAACAGAUGCACCUGACACCCAUUAAUUUAGAAGACCCUUUAUGGAGGAAAAGAGCAGAUAAGGCAACACAUUUUGAUUUCCAGACUCGAUUUUUGGCCCCAAACUGGUGGAGGAUCAAUGUGAGCAAGGCAGCACAGUAAUAGAAGAAGUGAAUCAACUGAGUGUGUGCGGUUCCCUAAUGGAGAGAGACAAAGUGAACAUGGAGAGAGAGAAAGAAGAGAUGUUGCCAGGCUGCCACCUUCCAUCCAGCCCUUCUCCUCCUCUUCCAAAGAGAAGCAUCGAACUAUAAAAAAGAAAAUCGUCAGAUGGCACGACCUUGAUCUGCCCUCCGAGCCCUCACGUCACCUCCCCCUAAGUCUUUUGACGAUGUCAUCUCAUUUGUUUUUCAAUUAUUUUGGUCUCUGUAGUGACGCUUAAGGAAAUGCUUUUCUUGUCUGAUCCUUUCGCUGUAUAUACUUUGUUUAUACAUAAUAAGAACAAGCCUCUUAUCAUUACAACUUCAAAAUGUAACCUGUCCCAAUUGUUAAUUAUUCCACAUUGCACCCUGGUGACAAAAAAAAAAAAGACAAAUUGCACUCAAAAUGAAAAUGUGAUGUAGUAAAAUUGAUGAGAGAGAGAGAGAGAGUGAGUGAGAGAGUGACAGAGAGAGUGAGAGAGAGACAGAGAGAGAGAGAGAGAGAGAGGGAGAGAGAAUAGAAUACAAUUUCAUGGUGCUGAGCUGCCAUUUCCCUCGUAACAAGUGUUCCUGUCUAUCUAAGCUUCUUUCUAGUAAACAACUUAACAAUACAAA